UACGGGGGGGGCAAGCGUUGUUCGGAAUUACUGGGCGUAAAGGGCUCGUAGGUGGCCAACUAAGUCGGACGUGAAAUCCCUCGGCUUAACCGGGGACUGCAUCUGAUACUGGAUGGCUUGAGAUUGGGAGAGGGAUGCGGAAUUCCAGGGUGUAGCGGUGAAAUGCGUAGAUAUCUGGAAGGAACACCGGUGGCGAAGGCGGCAGUCCUGGACCAACACGUGACGC
rnacentral:rRNA from 1 species